UACGAAGGGUGCAAACGUUGCUCGGAAUUAUUGGGCGUAAAGCGCACGUAGGCGGAUUUGUAAGUCAGGGGUGAAAUCCCGGGGCUCAACCUCGGAACUGCCUUUGAUACUGCAAAUCUCGAGUCCGGAAGAGGUGAGUGGAAUUCCUAGUGUAGAGGUGAAAUUCGUAGAUAUUAGGAAGAACACCAGUGGCGAAGGCGGCUCACUGGUCCGGUACUGACGCUGAGGUGCGAAAGCGUGGGGAGCAAACAGG
rnacentral:rRNA from 1 species